rfam:Bombyx mori DNA, contig: Bm_scaf6383_contig51592, strain: p50T/Dazao, build 2, whole genome shotgun sequence.
UUAACUCAAAUUUGUAUAUAGUUGGAAUAGCUUCCCCUCGUUUGCCGCUUGGAGCGCUGUUCCAACUCCAUACAAAUUUGAGUUU